ensembl:lncRNA novel transcript
GGCAGUCUGCGGCUUGGCUUGCUAGAGUUGUGAGAGACCUAGGCUUCUUGUACUCUGUGGCUUCACCAUCCUGGGGGGUGUCGCCUUACCCACAAACUGCUCCAUCACAUCCACAUUCUAGGCAAAAAGAAGGGGGAGAGGAGGAAGGGAAGGACAUGAUCCUUGUAGUAAGAGCACAUCUUGGAGGUGCACAUAUCCCUUCUGCUCACACCCUGUUAGCCAGAACCUAGUUGUGUGGUUACGCCUCACUGCAAAGGAAGAUGGGAGAUGUGUAGUUUUGUUCUGGAUGGCCAGUAUCAAGUAAAUGAUCCAAGUUAUGGAUUAUUCCACGGAAAGGGAGAAUAGAUAUCCGUGAACAACUUGCCAUUCCUACCACAGGCUGAUUUUAUCUAAUGUAGUUCAGAUGCAUGUACUCAAGUAGGCAGAGAGGCAGAUAGUCUAGUCUGGUUGAAUAGAAAGGAUUUACUUGAACACAUGUUUCAGUAUUGGCUAAAAGCCACAGCCUGCAAUGCACCAAAAGUAGCAUUGUCUUCAAAUACAAAGAUCAGUAACUGUUCUUAUUAGUUUGGUUUGGUCAUUACGAAUCUUCUAGCACCUCCCAAGAGUAAAGGGAAUGGUCAGUUGCAUAGGCUGGUGCAUCACGACCUUAAGAGCAAUAGUGACGUGAAGGAGGAGAAACAGCAUUUCAGAACUGUGUUUGAUCUCAGUUACUCCCUUACUUGAAGAAGGCUUCGAUGAUUCCUCAUGGAGAAAUCCCAGAUACUUCUGCACAUGAUUCAGAGGUCCCUUACAACUGGCUUCAGCCUGCCUUCCAAGCCCUGUCUCUCGCCUCUCCCUUCCUUCACACUGUGCUUCAGCGAGAUGCUGUGUUUUUUGCAAAUGGACGGUUUGGGCAACUCUUUGUGGAGCAAGUCUAUCGGUGCCAUUUUCCCAACAACAUGGAUUCACUUCAUGUCUCUGAGUCACAUUUUGGGUCUCGUUCUCUCACUCAGGCUGGAGUGUGGUGGCGUGAUCUUGGUUCACUGCAACCUCUGCUUCCUGGGCUCAUGCGAUUCUCCUGCCUCAGCCUCCUGAGUAGUUACAACUACAGGUACGUGCCACCAGGCCUGGCUAAUUUUUGUAUUGUUUUUGUAGAGGCAGGGUUUUGCCAUAUUGCCCAGGCUGGUCUUGGACUCCUGGGCUCAACCAAUCUGACUUACUUUUGUAAAAUGCAAUAAAAUUAAUGACCUGGGAAAAUAAAAUAGGUAAAACAGGUAUAUAAAGUACAUUCCCAAUUUUUAAAUUAUUAGAUUCAAUAAACAUAAAAUUACUUAUUUGU